GGUGACCAGCGGAGGGAUCAUUACCGAGUUUACAACUCCCAAACCCAUGUGAACAUACCUUUACGUUGCUUCGGCGGAGCCGCCCCGGCGCCCGGAACCUCUUCGGUUUCGCGGCCCGGAACCAGGCGCCCGCCGGAGGCCACAAACUCUUUUGUUUUUACAGUUUCUUCUGAGUGUGCCGCAAGGCAAAAUACAAAUGAAUCAAAACUUUCAACAACGGAUCUCUUGGUUCUGGCAUCGAUGAAGAACGCAGCGAAAUGCGAUAAGUAAUGUGAAUUGCAGAAUUCAGUGAAUCAUCGAAUCUUUGAACGCACAUUGCGCCCGCCAGAAUUCUGGCGGGCAUGCCUGUUCGAGCGUCAUUUCAACCCUCGAGCUCCCCUCUUUUGGGAGAGCCCGGCGUUGGGGACCCGGCGCUAACACCGCCGGCCCCGAAAUGGAGUGGCGGCCCGUCCGCGGCGACCUCUGCGUAGUAAUAUCCACUCGCACCGGGACCCGGGCGCGGCCACGCCGUAAAACACCCCACCUUCCGAAUGUUGACCUCGAAUCAGGUAGGAAUACCCGCUGAACUUAAGCAUAUCAAUAAGCGGAGGAAAAGAAACCAACAGGGAUUGCCCCAGUAACGGCGAGUGAAGCGGCAACAGCUCAAAUUUGAAAUCUGGUCCCCAGGGCCCGAGUUGUAAUUUGUAGAGGAUGCUUUUGGCGAGGCGCCUUCCGAGUUCCCUGG
rnacentral:sRNA from 1 species